rnacentral:tRNA from 2 species
CGGGGUGUAGCUCAGUCCGGCUAGAGUGCUUGGUUUGGGACCAAGAGGCCGACGGUUCGAAUCCGUCCACCCCGA